rnacentral:lncRNA from 1 species
CCCCCGGAGGGUUUCUACCUCCAUUUUGCCAGAAGACCCUCGAGAUUCACGAUCGAGAGGAUCUCCUGGAUCAAAAAUUCCAAGAGAUGGACCGGUGGAUCGAAGAGCUCCGUCAUGCUCCCCCUGCUUACGGUAAGGAUAUCUGUAAUGACCCUCCUUUUUCUCAAAAGAUUAUGCAGGAACCGAUCCCGUCAAACUUCAAGCUCCCCCAAUUUGAGAGCUACGACGGGAUCUCGGAUCAGGUUGACCACCUGGAGACCUUCC